CAGCAUUUCUCUCACACACUACCGGCGACGACGACUCCGGCGACGAGAUCGACGACUCCGGCGUGGAAUCUGAAAUAGAAAAGGAGAAAGGCACGUCGCUUAAACAACCCCCCGCAAGAGCGUCGCUUAGAGGCAGGUGUCGAAACAAGACUGGGUGAAGGAGAGAUGGUGUUUCGGCCUUCUCGGCUUCUCUCUCUCUCGAAUCCUUCUCGGCCUUCUCAGGCUUGUCUCCCUCGGUUGAUCUCGUCGGUGAUCUAGCUCUCGUCGGCGUUCUCCCUGUCUUGAUUCCUCUCGUCAGGCUCACCCUUUGGCCUUCUCUCUCUCGAUUCCUCUCGUCGGUGGCUCUGCUCUUCUCCGCGUCGUUUCAAAUCAAAAGACAAUCUUGUAGAUCCCGGGUUUCACUGAUAACGUUGUCACUCAUAUUCUAUCUGGACUAGGAGCCGGAUUUUUCGCUGUCUGCAUUGGUUCCCCUGCUGACGUGGUUAAGUCAAGAAUGAUGGGAGAUCACAUUGUUAAAUUAUUUAUAAUGGUGUACAGAUAAUUUAUAAAUAUUUAUAAAGUCACUAUAAAUGAUUCUUAGUCUUUAUAAGGCUUUAUAUAUUACAAAUGUUAUUGUAAAA